GACGAACGCUGGCGGCGUGCCUAAUACAUGCAAGUCGAACGCAGUGGGGACGGGUGAGUAACCCGUGGGUAACCUCCCAUCAGAGGGGAUAACAAUUUGAAACAGGUGCUAAACCGAUACAGAUGGAUGCACCCGCGGUGCAUUAGCUAGUGUGUGAGGUAACGGCUCACCAAGGCCCCGAUGCAUCCCGGACCGGUGAGGGGGAUCGGCCACAGUGGGGCUGAGACACGGCCAAGACUCCUACGGGAGGCAGCAGUAGGGAGUCGUCUGCAAUUGACUAAAGUCUGACCGAGAAACGCCGCGGGAGUGAAGAAGGUUUUCGGAUCGUAAAACUCUGUUGUUAGAGAAGCGGUAUCUAACCAGAAAGCCACGGCUAACUACGUGCCAGCAGCCGCGGUAAUAC
rnacentral:rRNA from 1 species